AACGCAUAUUGCGCUCUCUGGUAUUCCGGGGAGCAUGCCUGUUUCAGCAUCAUUUGAACUCCUCAAAAUCAUCUUUGUGUGAUUUGGGACGUGGGCUUUCUUGUUGUGUGUUAACACAACUAGCCUGAAAUUUGUAACAAAUAAUGCAAGAAAUUGUGUAGCUGCUAUGUUGCAUAAGACGAAAUGCUAAUUAGUUGACUCUGGUCAAACUUGCUUACUAGUCUUUGAAACGAAGCCAGAAUACAUUCACAAAUUGAUCUGAAAUCAGGUAGGAUUACCCGCUGAACUUAA
rnacentral:misc_RNA from 1 species